CCUGGUUGAUCCUGCCAGUAGUCAUAUGCUUGUCUCAAAGAUUAAGCCAUGCAUGUCUAAGUUCAAGCGAAAAUAAAGUGAAACCGCGAAUGGCUCAUUACAUCAGUUAUGGUUCCUUAGAUCGCACCUACUACUUGGAUAACUGUGGUAAUUCUAGAGCUAAUACAUGCGCUGGGCCCCAACCCUCGUGGAAGGGGCGCUUUUAUUAGAUCAAAGCCAAUCGGGCCUUCGGGCUCGUUAACUUGGUGACUCUGAAUAACUUUGCUGAUCGCACGGUCUCGCACCGGCGACGUAUCUUUCAAGUGUCUGCCUUAUCAACUGUCGAUGGUAGGUUAUGCGCCUACCAUGGUGGUAACGGGUAACGGGGAAUUAGGGUUCGAUUCCGGAGAGGGAGCCUGAGAAACGGCUACCACAUCCAAGGAAGGCAGCAGGCGCGCAAAUUACCCACUCCCAGCUCGGGGAGGUAGUGACGAAAAAUAACGAUACGGAACUCUUAUGAGGCUCCGUAAUCGGAAUGAGUACACUUUAAAUCCUUUAACGAGGAUCUAUUGGAGGGCAAGUCUGGUGCCAGCAGCCGCGGUAAUUCCAGCUCCAAUAGCGUAUAUUAAUGUUGUUGCGGUUAAAAAGCUCGUAGUUGGAUCUCGGUUUCGGGCGAGCGGUGCGCCUUGCGGCGUCUACUGUUUGCCCGGACGAUUUUGCUGGUUCGUUCCUGGUUCUCUUAACCGAGUGCCAGGAGUGGCCAGCACGUUUACUUUGAAAAAAUUGGAGUGCUCAAAGCAGGCGCUACAGCCUGAACAUUAGUGCAUGGAAUAAUGGAAUAGGACCUCGGUUCUAUUUCGUUGGCCUUCGGAGUCGAGGUAAUGAUUAAUAGGGACAGACGGGGGCAUUCGUACUGCGACGUUAGAGGUGAAAUUCUUGGAUCGUCGCAAGACGAACUACUGCGAAAGCAUUUGCCAAGAAUGUUUUCAUUAAUCAAGAACGAAAGUUAGAGGUUCGAAGGCGAUCAGAUACCGCCCUAGUUCUAACCAUAAACGAUGUCGACUGGCGAUCCGCUAUCGUUAACUGAAAGACUUAGCGGGCAGCCUCCGGGAAACCAAAGUGUUUGGAUUCUGGGGGGAGUAUGACUGCAAAAUUGAAACUUAAAAGAAUUGACGGAAGGGCACCACCAGGAGUGGAGCCUGCGGCUUAAUUUGACCCAACACGGGAAAUCUCACCAGGCCCGGACACCGGUAGGAUUGACAGAUUGAGAGCUCUUUCUUGAUUCGGUGGGUGGUGGUGCAUGGCCGUUCUUAGUUGGUGGAGCGAUUUGUCUGGUUAAUCC
rnacentral:rRNA from 1 species